rnacentral:SRP_RNA from 1 species
GCCGGGCAUGGUGGCUCAUGCCUGUAAUCCCAGAACUUUGGGAGGCCGAGGCAGGUGGAUCACCUGAGGUCAGGACUAUGAGACCAGCCUGACCAACAUGGUGAAACCCUGUCUCUA